CAACUACUCCCUCCGUUCUGAAUUACAUGUCACAGAUAUGAAUGUAUCUAGAUGUAUUUUAGUUCCAGAUACAUCCAUUUCUGCGACGAGUAAUUUAGAACGGAGGGAGUAUCAC
rfam:Triticum aestivum genome assembly, contig: Triticum_aestivum_CS42_TGACv1_scaffold_213559_3AS